rnacentral:lncRNA from 1 species
AACUUUCAUAAGCUCAAUAUAGAUACCCAUUUUACAGGUACAGAUCACAGGUUUGGUAUAGGCUUCAUACUAAGGAAUGCCAAUGAGAAAUUUGCAGGUGCUGGAAGCUGCUCAGGUACAGCAGGAUCCUCAGAUGAUGCAUGGGCAACAGGAAUACUGGAAGCCAUUCUUUGGGUGACCCAGCAACCAGUAACUGCAUUAGUGCUCAAAACCUAUGCUGUCAGGGGCGCCGCUUGAGCGCCGCUCAGCGCCGCCUAGGCGCUAUUUCUAAAGGAGGACGCUCCGCUGGGCCAACACAACGCCUAAAACGCCUUGGGCCGUCUGGGCGGCGCUCAGGUCCAGUGCUUUGGUCAGAGCGGCCCAUAGAAACGCGCUCAGGGAGGCCCAAAUCCAAGAAAGCCCGUAUAAAAAAUUAAAAAAAAAAAAAAAAAAAAAAACUCACUUCUUUCUCUCUCACCUCUUUCACGUUCUCUCUCUCUCACCUCCGCCUCUCUGGUUUCUCUCUUCUGCUACUUCUCUCCGGCUCUGCUGCUAAUUCAUAUUCAAAGCUAAUCAAAUCUUAUAAUCUUUUUCUAAUCUUCUUUAAUCAAACCAAAAUCUAAUCAAAUUUAUUUAUUUUUUUUAAUUUUUCAAAUCAAAUUCUAAUCUUUCUUUUUUCAAUUUAACUUCUAUUGAAAUGUUAAUCCCCCAAUUAGCAAUCCAAUUCUUUCGCUGACUAGUUAUUGUUAACCCCCCCCCCCCCCCCCAUUAGGAGGUUCUGGGUUGCAUUAAUGGUUCAGUGAUCACUUAUAGUUAUAAUUUAUAAAUUCAAUACAAAGUUACAAACAUAAUUAUCCAAAUCUCUUAAUGUUGGUCUUGAUCGGAGCGGCGUCUCAGCGCCGCCUGAGCGGUGGAGGCGGUUCCCAGAAAUCUGAGUGCCCGGCGCUCCGCUCCGCCCUUGACAGCAUAGCUCAAAACUGAUCAUAAGGGCGUUGCGGAUUUUCUCAAUGGCUAUGACAAUAACCUAUCUCCACGAUCAAUCACUAUUUUAAAUUAUGUACUUCAGUUUUUUUUUCUUUAUUUAAUACUAUUCAGGUGACUUUCACUGGCAGUACUGGGAACCAAGCUGCUCAUAUCCUUGCCUCUAGUGCUUGCAUAAGUGUAAA